GAGUUUGAUCGUGGCUCAGAACGAACGCUGGCGGCAGGCCUAACACAUGCAAGUCGAACGGAUGUAGCAAUACAUUAGUGGCGCACGGGUGCGUAACGCGUGGGAACAUGCCCUUGGGUAAGGAAUAAUGUCUGGAAACGGACACUAAUACCUUAUAAUGACUUCGGUCCAAAGAUUUAUCGCCCAAGGAUUGGCCCGCGUCUGAUUAGCUAGUUGGUGAGGUAACGGCUCACCAAGGCGACGAUCAGUAGCUGGUCUGAGAGGAUGAUCAGCCACACUGGGACUGAGACACGGCCCAGACUCCUACGGGAGGCAGCAGUGAGGAAUAUUGGACAGUGGGGGAAACCCUGAUCCAGCCAUGCCGCGUGAGUGAAGAAGGCCUUC
rnacentral:rRNA from 1 species